rnacentral:rRNA from 1 species
GACGAACGCUGGCGGCGUGCCUAAUACAUGCAAGUUGAGCGCUGAAGGUUGGUACUUGUACCGACUGGAUGAGCAGCGAACGGGUGAGUAACGCGUGGGGAAUCUGCCUUUGAGCGGGGGACAACAUUUGGAAACGAAUGCUAAUACCGCAUAAAAACUUUAAACACAAGUUUUAAGUUUGAAAGAUGCAAUUGCAUCACUCAAAGAUGAUCCCGCGUUGUAUUAGCUAGUUGGUGAGGUAAAGGCUCACCAAGGCGAUGAUACAUAGCCGACCUGAGAGGGUGAUCGGCCACAUUGGGACUGAGACACGGCCCAAACUCCUACGGGAGGCAGCAGUAGGGAAUCUUCGGCAAUGGACGAAAGUCUGACCGAGCAACGCCGCGUGAGUGAAGAAGGUUUUCGGAUCGUAAAACUCUGUUGGUAGAGAAGAACGUUGGUGAGAGUGGAAAGCUCAUCAAGUGACAGUAACUACCCAGAAAGGGACGGCUAACUACGUG